UACGAAGGGGGCUAGCGUUGUUCGGAAUCACUGGGCGUAAAGCGCACGCAGGCGGGUCGUUAAGUCAGGGGUGAAAUCCCGAGGCUCAACCUCGGAACUGCCUUUGAUACUGGCGAUCUUUGAGUCCGGGAGAGGUGAGUGGAACUCCGAGUGUAGAGGUGAAAUUCGUAGAUAUUCGGAAGAACACCAGUGGCGAAGGCGGCUGACUGGCCCGGUACUGACGCUCAUGUGCGAAAGCGUGGGGAGCAAACAGG
rnacentral:rRNA from 1 species